rnacentral:rRNA from 1 species
GACGAACGCUGGCGGCGUGCUUAACACAUGCAAGUCGAACGGAAAGGCCCUGCUUGCAGGGUACUCGAGUGGCGAACGGGUGAGUAACACGUGGGUGAUCUGCCCUGCACUUCGGGAUAAGCCUGGGAAACUGGGUCUAAUACCGGAUAGGAGCCAUUUUUAGUGUGAUGGUUGGAAAGUUUUUUCGGUGUAGGAUGAGCUCGCGGCCUAUCAGCUUGUUGGUGGGGUAAUGGCCUACCAAGGCGGCGACGGGUAGCCGGCCUGAGAGGGUGGACGGCCACAUUGGGACUGAGGUACGGCCCAGACACCUACGGGAGGCAGCAGGGGGGAAUAUUGCACAAGGGGCGCAAGCCGGAUGCAGCGACGCCGCGUGGGGGAUGACGGCCUUCGGGUUGUAAACUCCUUUCGCUAGGGACGAAGCUUUUUGUGACGGUACCUAGAUAAGAAGCACCGGCUAACUACGUG